CCUACGGGAGACAGCAGUGGGGAAUAUUGCACAAUGGGGGGAACCCUGAUGCAGCAAUGCCGCGUGAAGGAUGAAGGUUUUCGGAUUGUAAACUUCUUUUGUACGGGACGAAGAAAGUGACGGUACCGUAAGAAUAAGCCACGGCUAACUACGUGCCAGCAGCCGCGGUAAUACGUAGGUGGCAAGCGUUAUCCGGAUUUACUGGGUGUAAAGGGCGAGUAGGCGGGAUUGCAAGUCAGAUGUGAAAACUAUGGGCUCAACCGAUAGAGUGCAUUUGAAACUGCAGUUCUUGAGUGAUGGAGAGGCAGGCGGAAUUCCUAGUGUAGCGGUGAAAUGCGUAGAUAUUAGGAGGAACACCAGUGGCGAAGGCGGUCUGCUGGACUGCAACUGACACUGAUGCUCGAAAGUGUGGGUAUCAAACAGGAUUAGAUACCCCAGUAGUC
rnacentral:rRNA from 1 species